rnacentral:lncRNA from 1 species
AUUUGUUAACAUAUGAACUUUUGAUGUUAAUUUGUGAUGUCUUAAAGCAUGUUUAGAGUUAAGAAUUCAUCUUUUCUUUCAUGACUUGAUAUGGAUUGCUAUUACUUUAUUUUAUUCCAUAACUUAAUAUGGAUUACUUUGUCUUUUGAUUCUUUAUAUUUCCUUCCAUGACUUGAUAUGGAAUUGUUUAUCUUUUAUCUGUUCUUCCAUGACUUGAUAUGGAUU